rnacentral:rRNA from 1 species
UCACACCCGUUCCCAUCCCGAACACGGAAGUUAAGCUCAAUUGCGCCGAUGGUACUGCAAUUAUGUGGGAGAGUAGGUCGUCGCCAGGC